rnacentral:lncRNA from 1 species
GGCCUCACUAAGUUGCUGAGGCUGGCUUUGAACUCUUGAUCUUCCUGCCUCAGCCUCCCAAGCCGCUGGGAUGACAGGUACGAACCAUCAUGCCAGGGUGCACCUAAAAGAUUCUUGAAAGUUCAUUUACUUAGUGAAUAAAUGAACAAAUGAAGGGGGAUAAUAGUAUCAGCACAAGUAUAUUUUGGGGUACAAACCGGCACAAGAUACUGGCUGCAGCAGAGCUUUGUGAACUCCUAAGACUUCUAAACCUAAAGAUGUGAGGAAGAAGAAAAUGCCAUGGAGCUGAUGGUGAUGGGACAGGAUGCAGGAUGGAGGCCUGGGAAAGGUGGACCAGUGGGGUAAGCCAGGGCCCACUGGUGAGAACAUCAGCUUUCGGGUCUCUAUCUACUAAGGAAUUCUGCAGGAAAGGCCUAUUGCUCUUCAGACUCUCUCUGAGGUGCCCCAUUUAAAACCCCAGCAUGCUCAGGGUUAUCUCUUGAAUAUUAAUUGCCUCCAUAGGAGAUCCAGAGCUUUAUCACCAGCUUCUUCUGGUUCCUGCUGUGAGAGGCAAAAGCCCUGUUGCAUCUCCAUCCUUCCAGCUGCCCAUGGCCUCCUUCAGCCUCCUGGAGCUCAUCGCCUUCCUCAGGCCCGGCUUCCUGCCUUGAACCAGCCUGGCAUGGAUAUCGCUUCCAGCCCUCUAAGGAUGCAAUGUCAGGGACAAUGGACUUACUUUGACAUUACUGCCAGGCACCCCAGGCCAUCUCACAUAGCAUGAGCAGAAUCUCCAUCUUCACACUCAGUGCCCGGGGCUGGUUCCCCUCAGUGUGUCUGGCCACAUCUCCCAGGGAUGGGUUCCCUGAGGCUGGAGCAACAGGCAGCCGGCUUAAUCCCUGAAAAACUCCAAUUCAAAUCCUAAGAAGGUAAAGCUUGUCUUUGGCAGCUCUGUGCCAUUCUAAUUGUCUUACUUUAGGAUGUGAGAGAAGAGAAAGAGGCUGAGGGACAAAGGCCAGAUGAGCAGGAGGGGUCAGCUAACCUGAGUUCCAGGCAGGCAAAGGGUGCCUGAAGGAUCCACUGUCCUGUGACAUUCCAGCAGUGUCAUUCCUGGCCUGCUAAGGAACCUAAAAUCCAACACAGCAUGUUCUCAGGGCUGGAACUGUUUUAUUUCUUCUCUAUUUUUUAAUGAAGUAGCUAGACUGGCUUCUUAAAAGAACCACUUUGAACACCUGUGAAUUCUACGAAGUUCAAAUUUAGGAAAAAUCUCACCUGUAGGGCUUAGGUCCUCUGAGCCAUUGGCUAUUUAUAAUUAAUAUUAAUAAAAGAUCGUUGACAUAUUUAUUACUUAGCUGACAUGUAUUGCCAAACCCCAAAGGGUUUCCUUUAAGAUCUAAAGGAUUUGCAUGUACUUGGUAGUUAUGUUGAAGAGAAUAAAACUUUUGGGGUAUAAUCAAGAUUUCUUUCUUAAAUAAAUUUUUUUUUUGUAGUACAGCAAUUGAACCCAGGAGUGCUCUACCACUGAUAUAUAUCCCCAGCCCUUUUUAUUUGUUGAGACAAGGUCUCUCUAAAUUGCCCAGAUUGGCCUCCAGCUUGCAAUCCUCCUCCCCCAGCCUCCCAAGUAGCUCUGAUUCCAGGUGCCCACGACUUCACCUGACCAGAUUUCUUAUGAGAACCCAAUGACGCAUGGGCAAUGUCUGCCUUAAACCAGCCAAAAACCAAAAAAGGAACUGAACUGGGUGUGCCACUG